AGGUCAUCCCGGCGGGCUCAUAACCCGCAGUUCAGUAGUUCAAAUCUACUCCCCGCUA
rnacentral:tRNA from 2 species